UGAUGUUUCUCAAGAGAGAGUUGGAAUAUCCAACCGCCGAAGAGGCAAGCCGGGCGUAUGAUGGUGAGCGCAUGCAAGGUGAAACUUUCAGGCAAAAGGACUGGGAAACGUAC
rfam:Lachnospiraceae bacterium 5_1_57FAA genomic scaffold supercont1.10, whole genome shotgun sequence.